rnacentral:rRNA from 1 species
UACAGAGGGUGCAAACGUUGUUCGGAAUCACUGGGCAUAAAGCGCGCGUAGGCGGCCUUGUCAGUGCGGAGUGAAAGCCCACGGCUUACCCGUGGAAUUGCUUCGCAUACUGCAGGGCUCGAGGACGGUAGGGGAAAGCGGAACUCUUGGUGGAGCGGUGAAAUGCGUAGAUAUCAAGAGGAACACCAAAGGCGAAGGCAGCUUUCUGGUCCGUUUCUGACGCUGAGGUGCGAAAGCCAGGGUAGCGAACAGG